GUGGGGAAUAUUGGACAAUGGGCGAAAGCCUGAUCCAGCCAUGCCGCGUGUGUGAAGAAGGUCUUCGGAUUGUAAAGCACUUUAAGUUGGGAGGAAGGGCAGUAAGUUAAUACCUUGCUGUUUUGACGUUACCGACAGAAUAAGCACCGGCUAACUUCGUGCCAGCAGCCGCGGUAAUACGAAGGGUGCAAGCGUUAAUCGGAAUUACUGGGCGUAAAGCGCGCGUAGGUGGUUUUGUAAGUUGGAGGUGAAAUCCCCGGGCUCAACCUGGGAACUGCCUCAAAAACUGCAUGACUAGAGUACGGUAGAGGGUAGUGGAAUUUCCUGUGUAGCGGUGAAAUGCGUAGAUAUAGGAAGGAACACCAGUGGCGAAGGCGACUACCUGGACUGAUACUGACACUGAGGUGCGAAAGCGUGGGGAGCAAACAGGAUUAGAAACCCUGGUAGUCC
rnacentral:rRNA from 1 species